AAGAAAGUUGUAGUGGUUACGCGGUUGGCUUGAAACCAAUUUCAGGGGGUUCGAUUCCUUCCUUUCUUG
rnacentral:tRNA from 2 species